rnacentral:rRNA from 1 species
UACAGAGGUCUCAAGCGUUGUUCGGAUUCAUUGGGCGUAAAGGGUGCGUAGGUGGCGUCGUAAGUCAGGUGUGAAAUCUCGGAGCUUAACUCCGAAACUGCAUUUGAUACUGCGGUGCUUGAGGACUGGAGAGGAGACUGGAAUUUACGGUGUAGCAGUGAAAUGCGUAGAGAUCGUAAGGAAGACCAGUGGCGAAGGCGGGUCUCUGGGCCGAAAUUGACGCUGAGGAGCGAAAGCGUGGGGAGCAAACAGG